AAUAUUGCGCAAUGGACGAAAGUCUGACGCAGCAACGCCGCGUGAGGGAUGACGGCCUUCGGGUUGUAAACCUCUUUCAGCAGGGACGAAGCGAGAGUGACGGUACCUGCAGAAGAAGGACCGGCCAACUUCGUGCCAGCAGCCGCGGUAAGACGAAGGGGGCUAGCGUUGUUCGGAAUUACUGGGCGUAAAGCGCGUGUAGGCGGUUGUUCAAGUCGGGUGUGAAAGCCUUGAGCUCAACUCAAGAAAUGCACUCGAUACUGGAUGACUUGAGGACCGGAGAGGAUAGUGGAAUUCCCAGUGUAGUGGUGAAAUACGUAGAGAUUGGGAAGAACACCAGUGGCGAAGGCGGCUAUCUGGACGGUUUCUGACGCUAAGACGCGAAAGCGUGGGGAGCAAAC
rnacentral:rRNA from 1 species